GAUGAACGCUAGCGGCAGGCCUAACACAUGCAAGUCGAGGGAGAAGCCCUUUCGGGGGCAGAAACCGGCGCACGGGUGCGUAACGCGUAUGCAACCUACCUUUCACAGGGGGAUAGCCCGAAGAAAUUUGGAUUAAUACCCCAUAAUAUUAUUGGAUGGCAUCAUUUGAUAAUUAAAACUGCGGUGGUGAAAGAUGGGCAUGCGUCCUAUUAGCUAGUUGGAGUGGUAACGGCACCCCAAGGCUACGAUAGGUAGGGGUCCUGAGAGGGAGAUCCCCCACACUGGUACUGAGACAGGGACCAGACUCCUACGGGAGGCAGCAGUGAGGAAUAUUGGUCAAUGGUCGGAAGACUGAACCAGCCAUGCCGCGUGCAGGAAGAAUGCCUUAUGGGUUGUAAACUGCUUUUAUAUGGGAAGAAUAAGGCGUACGUGUACGUUGAUGACGGUACCAUAGGAAUAAGCAUCGGCUAACUCCGU
rnacentral:rRNA from 1 species